rnacentral:rRNA from 1 species
GACGAACGCUGGCGGCGUGCCUAAUACAUGCAAGUCGAACGCAGUGGGGACGGGUGAGUAACACGUGGGUAACCUCCCAUCAGAGGGGAUAACACUUGGAAACAGGUGCUAAAACGAUACUGAUGGAUGGACCCGCGGUGCAUUAGCUAGUUGGUGAGGUAACGGCUCACCAAGGCCACGAUGCAUAGCCUACCUGGGAGGUUGAUCGGCCAAUCUGGUACUGGGACACGCCCCAGACUCCGACGGAGGGCAGCAGUAGGAAAUCUUCGGCAAUGGCCGAAAGUCUGACCGGGAAACGCCGCGUGAGUGAAGAGGUUUUUCGGAUGUUAAAACUCUGUUGUUAGAGCAGCGGUAUCUAACCAGAAAGCCACGGCUAACUACGUGCCAGCCGCCGCGGUAAUUC